AGAUCGAUCUGUAUAACAUUAGGAAGGAGUUUAGGAAGAAUUUUGGCACCUCUCUUUAUUCCAUGAUUAAGGGGGACACGUCUGGGGACUAUAAGAAAACCCUCCUGCUGCUCUGUGGAGGCGAAGAUGACUGAUGGGAGCCUGGGGAGCCGCCCCACGCCGUGUCCGCCCGGCACCACUGCCUUUCUGCAGCGCAGCUCACCACACUCUACACGCCAGUGCUGAGCACACUGCCUUACUCACGCUAGCAUGCUGUGGCCAAAACAUAAAUGUAAAAGAAUGUAGCGGUGCUCCUUUCUGAUCUUUAGUUAAGAUCUUUCUCUUUAACUGUUGUAGCACUAAAGUGUACUUAUGUUACUAGGACUAAAGUCUGGAUCAUUUAUAUUUUCCUGUAAGAGGCAGACUGCUUUCACCCUUUUUUAAAAGCUUCAUUUAUAUUAAAUUGAUAACCAUAUUACCUUAGUCAGAGCCUUAGCCUUGAAAUUGUGAACUCCUGGAAGUGUUAUUAAUCAAGUUUGCUACCAAGUUAAACCAAAAAAAUUGUAGUGGUUGCAAUCAAAAGAUUAGUGAAUAAUAAACAUUUCCAUCUUCCUGAAAAA